UGGAAGUAUUUUUGAUUUUGACUACACCUAAAACCUUUUAGUAGACUUUUAA
rnacentral:tRNA from 1 species